rfam:Ictidomys tridecemlineatus contig006616, whole genome shotgun sequence.
GGGGCUGUAGCUAAGUGGCAGAGCACUUGCCUUGCAGGUGUGAGACCCUGAGUUCGAUCCUCAGCACCUCA